AAUGAACCACGUCUUGGAAAUGUAAAGUACCUGAAACAAAGGUUUCUUUCACAUGGUACUAUUUGCAUAGAUUAUCACGAGAUCCAGCAUACCGGUUACGUGAAACUGAAGUGAAUAUCACGUGAGCAAGACUUAGCUGCCCUUUUGGAUAAAGAAAAACUUAAUAUGAGUUGCCAACUUACGCAUGAGUUAGGUUUGCUCAUCUUCAGCACUAUAAAGAUGAAGGUUCCAAUACAUAUACAGGUUGCUGUUUGACAACUAAAGAACUUAUUAAGUUUCAUCGUGAAGUACAAAAUUAUAUUUAUGAUCUCAGCUACCUUGGGGCAUAGAUGGUUGUUGUAACUAGUACGUGUCAUAUUUGGUGUAUACUGCAAAUAUGAUACCAGUCUUCUGCUCUUUGUAUUUUUAAAUCUCAAGUUACUAUUGCCUCUGUGCCGCAUCUAACAUUUUAAAAUUGGAAUGAUGGUCGGAGGCUUAGAGCAUACUGCUUAGAAGACUCUGAAUGUAGCUAUAGCAGCAGAAUCGCAAGGUAUGAAGCUGCAAAGAUCUUGUUGAUUCCUUCAUUACUUUUUCAGUUAUACUGUAGUCUGUAUAUUUCUGCAUCACAUUCUGUAUGAAUGAUCAAUAGCUUUGCAUUAUUCAUGUAAUCAUAUGCAUAUUAUCCUUUCUGCAGCAUUCAAGUUUUAUUUUGGAGGGGGGUAGGAAUAUUCAUUCUCACAAACAUCUGAUACCAAUUUUGAGUUUAGGCACACUGCCAGAAAUUUCUAUUCAGCUAC
rnacentral:lncRNA from 1 species